CACCAAAGCUCUAAAUACGUGAAUCAUAUUGCUCGAAGAAGGCACCACAGAUGAGCAGAGAAGAUGUAUGUCUUGACAAGUAGAAUAACAGUGAUCCACAGCGUCCUUCUCCUUCCCUCUCUCUACCCUUCACCCGUCUCUUUCUAUCCUUUGAGAUCCCAAGCCAUGGUUCGUAAGGUCGAAACGUGUCAGAUCUUGCGUGGGAGCUUUAUUAGGUCUCAGUAGCGGCAGCAAUCACCGUAACACCUCACUCUUCUUCUUCUUCUUCUUCUCUCUCUCUCUCUCUCUCUCUCUCUCUCUCUCUCAUGGUGGGGAAAGGGAUGAGGUGCAUGAGGAUCGAUCGGGGACUUGCUUCGUUUCGCCUGCCCUUUGAUUCCUUUGGGUGCUGGGAAAGGAUUUGCUGUUGGUAUUGCCUCGAUACAACUAAAAAGAGUACUGCUGCAGGAGACUGCGAGAUUCCUCUCGUGGGUCCAUAAAUCCACCGUCUUUCCAGGCUCGAUCCAGCCACCGGUGUCGCUCGCCCUGUGGGUUCGUUCCAACAGUACCUCCCCCCUUGCAGUACUCCUUUCUUCUUAUUCCUGUUGCUUGCCAUCUCCUCUCCUCCGACUCACUCGCCUCAAGCUCUCUUCUCCCGUUACACUCCGUCUCCGUGGGAACAGAAGUCGGUGUUUGCAGCUGUGGCAUCAUCAAGAUUCACACCGACCGGAUGCCCCGCCGUCCUCGUCGUCGAUGAGAAUCUUGAUGAUGCUGCAUCGGCAAAUAAGCGGCUAAACAACACAUGCCACCACCAUCAAGUCAUCAUCUCCUCAGAGGUCAAGUUUCUUGCUGCCGCUUUUGUUCUUAUAGAUGGAUUUCCCGACUUCUUUUACCUUCCAUACCUUUAGUUGAUUGUUUGCAGGGUAGUAAGCAAGCCUUUAAGUCUAAGUUAUUGUCACUCAAGUAGAUAGAUCUUUAUCAGCUUUCAGAUUCCAAGAAGUGAUACCAAUCAAUUAUGCUUUCACAAGGUAUGGAUUCCUUUUCCUUUGAAGGUGGCCACUCGACACACAAUUCUCCUGCCCUUGCUUGUAAUCUCAUGUUCGCUUUAUCUUUACCUUUUGUUUGUCCAUAGCUAAUUAAGCUUUUAUACUCUUGAGUAUUGUGAUUACCAUGUCAGAUAAUAUGGUGUUCAUUAAGGAAGAAUGAUGUUUGGUUUUCUUGAUAAGGAGUAUUUUUCCUUUCCCUUUUCUUCUCCUAAAAUGGAAGAAACCCUAUUAGUUUAUGUUGAUGAUGGACGAAGAACGUGUCAUUAGUUAAAGCUAAGCGACUAGAAUCAUGACAAGGAUUGUGUGUACAAACAAUUGCUCCUGACCAAAUUAAGGAAUCAAAAUGGAGAAGAACAUCAUGCACCACUAUACUUAGCUCAUUUGUGAGCCUUCUCAAAGAGGUUGAUGCUAUUUCUUCUUCUCAGAAUACACCAACAGAUGGUUGUGAGUAUGGACAUACGAUCAUCUUCCUAUUUCCUAAUAUUCCUUCUUCGAAAAACCAGCCAAAGAGCCGAGCUUGACGAUUAUUAGAAGCAUGGAGAAAGCGAAGAACUGCGAUAUCCGUGUCUUCCUCUUUCUUCUCUACGGUUAGGUGUUAAACAUCUGUGUUUUGAGAUGAAGAAUGUGUUCUUCUUAGACUACCAGCAAAUAUCUUCUCAACGUCACAUUCUGGUUGAGAUGGGCGAUGUUAUGUGACACGGAAGAAAGCAAAAGGAGAAUCCCCCAAUUCAGAUAGAAAGAUGAAGCAUCAUUCGAAGCACACAUGUACAGGAAUCAUCUGAAGAGGCAAACACCUCGAAAGCUCCAACUCCAUGACAGUUCCAGUGACUUCCUCUUCAGCUUUGACGAAUGUACUCAAAGAGCUGCUUUUCAACUCAAGAAAGAGAAAAAAGAGGGCACAAUUCCAUCAUCAAUCACUCAUGCAGGUGGUCCUCGCAGAAGGUACAUAUUGCUAGUUGUUUCUGAAGUGGACCUAUACAUGAUGAUGAUGCAGAGAUUUGUCUGGUAAUUUUACUUGAUCUCCUCCUCCAUUUUAGCAGACAAAACAAUCAUGUAGUGUAUUAAAGGCCGAACACAUGUAUACCUCCCGCUUUCCACGAUCGAACAGUAUACCUCCGUAUUUGUAAUAGUUGAUAUAGCUCACAACAAAUCUCAGUGAAAUAUCAAACUAUUGGGGUUGA